CAUCGCUCUUGGCCAGCUCGU
rnacentral:miRNA from 1 species